CCUUAGAGACCAACUAAGUUUGUUCUUGGUAUAAGCUUUCGUGUGCAUGCACACUUCUUCAGAUACAUGGAAGCUUAUACCAAGAACAAACUUAGUUGGUCUCUAAGG